rnacentral:rRNA from 1 species
CACGGAGGAUCCGAGCGUUAUCCGGAUUUAUUGGGUUUAAAGGGAGCGUAGGUGGAUUGUUAAGUCAGUUGUGAAAGUUUGCGGCUCAACCGUAAAAUUGCAGUUGAAACUGGCAGUCUUGAGUACAGUAGAGGUGGGCGGAAUUCGUGGUGUAGCGGUGAAAUGCUUAGAUAUCACGAAGAACUCCGAUUGCGAAGGCAGCUCACUAGACUGCAACUGACACUGAUGCUCGAAAGUGUGGGUAUCAAACAGG